AAAAAUUGUUCGUAUAGCAGUCAGUUGACACAGUAACUGAUCUCCAAAACCUCGUAGAUUUUUUAAAAUUAUAUUUUUGGGCAUUUCAAGUGUGGCACAAUGAAUGGUGUUGAUUACCAAGUUCAAUGUCCUUCCAUAUGUUUUGUAUUCCAGGGCAUAGCUACAUUAUUAUGUCCUCAAACCAUGUAUAUAAUGUGGAUACACCUUAUACUCACAUAACGAAUUGCACAUCUUUCUUCAGCAGCAUUAGAUAAAUCAGGAAAUGUUAAUUCACAAAAAUGUUCUUUGUAUAUGAGUCUUUUAUGCCUACCCUUCUUCCUUCUCUUAAAAAUCAAUUCCAUCAUAGUUUUUUAUAUAUGAAUCUUCUAGGCGUACCCAUCUUUGUUUGCUUAAACAAGUAAACCAUCACUGAUCAGAAAAAAACAUGUAAACCAUCAUAGCUUACAAUUAGCUAUUAUAUUGAGUUGUUUGCAUGUUUUAAACAGUCGCAAAAUGCAGCCUGUACAUGUUAGAACAAAGUUAGAAGCAUUGGUUAGUUACUAACUUCUAAUCAGUCAUGAUUCGCCAUACCGAUAUCCGGUAUAGAUAGCAUAACGACACUCGAUACACCGAAAGGACUCCAUAUCAUACCGACACAGUGCUAGUGUGGCACUGGUAUGGGGUUCAGUAUCGAAAUGGCAAACUUUGUAAUCAAUUCCUAGUUAGUUACAUCACUACUACAGGAUCUUAACUUCAUUAUAAUAUCUAUUAUAUGGGAUAGAGUAAGAUGGUUCUUAUUCCUUUUGCAUGUAUCAGCAACUUCUCAUAAUAUCUGUUCUGUCAAUCAGAGCAUUUUUUAUAGGCAGAUGACUUGAAAUUUGUCUAUCCAAUGAACUGGAAAGGUUUUGUGUACAGGAUUUGAAAGGAUGUGACUCUUCAACUUGAGUUACUGAGUUACUAUGUUAUAAUUUUUUAGAGUGCAUAAGCACCAUAUCUGGCGUACAAAUUUUGCUUUGGUUUAUAUUAAGCAUUGGGUUUGAGCUACCAAAAUUUGAGGAAAAAUGGUCAAAUAUUUAACAGUAAUUGAUUCAAAUGUCAAUUUGCUUGUUAUGCACAUAUAAAUUAUAUAACAACCUAUUUUUGAUCUUUUUGUGACAUACUCACAUGUUUACUCCAUGUUCGCAUGCAAUUCAUGUACCAAACAGGUUCUGGAAAAAUUACUGAGUUUAAUUCUAAAGCUAUUUUAUUACCUCUCCCCUUUGCAGGUAAAAUCACUUAAAUCCUCUUUGUGUCUGAUCAAGUUCAGAGCAUUGAAUUUGAAUCAAAUCAGGAGACUGGCUUGGUUGGAUGAGUAUUUCAGUCUGGUCUAGAUCAGAUUGAAAGUUUUAUCUGAUCCUUUUUGGGGCCUGACGGAGCUCAUCUUCAUUUUAUUUACUGAAUACCAGUGCUUGGAUUCCACGGUGGUUUUCUCUUGAGCUACGGAAUCCAUUUAUAUGGGUUUUGCCAUUGUCACAGAUAUUCUCCCUCAGAAGAUUUGGAUAUUAGCCUCUUCAACAUGUUAGACAGACGGCGUCAAGAAUUUUUGCUUGUAAUACUCAGGAACCCUGUCAUUCUUCUAGUACAUUCAAGAAAUAUUAUCGACAUCCUCAAAAUGUUGAAUUCCCACCCAUACUGCCAAAGAAUAAAAAAAAGUCUUUCUCUAUCCCAAUAAAAAAGAUCAUACAGGCUUCUGGACAGGAUAAAAAACUGGCUGAAAUGGGUAUAGAGAAGCCUCUUGAGCCCCCCAAAGAAUGUGUUACUGGUACCUGAUCUUGUUCCUGUUGCUUAUGAGGUACUGGAACAUUGGAAAGGGCUGAUCCAAGGCCUUUCACAGCUUCUGAAUGUUGUUACAGUUUAUGGUUGUAGCAAAUGUUCUGCAGUCCACGUUGGUCCCAUUGGCCACCGGAUUCAGGACUGCAGAGGCACUGGAAGUGAGCAGUGCAGGAACCUCCACUGUUGGUUUUGAGGUUCCAUCAAUGAUGCUCUUAUCCCCAUUGAAUCAUACCACCUGUAUGUCCCCUUUGGGCGGCACAUCAAGCACAAGACUCAUUUCCCAGCAGUUGUAGAGCUACGCAUUCAAGCAGGAGUUGAUUUGCCAGAAUUUCCUUCACGCCGACGAACCAUGCCCAUCUGAAUGCUUGGGAAAAAGAAAUCAUUUCCUGUGGAGCUGGACAUGGGGCUUAUGACUUGCUUGUAGGUUUUCCAGUGUACAUUCUGCAUCUGUCUUGGAAAGAAAUGGUUAUCCAAAGUGUUAUGCAAUACACAUCCCUGUAAAGAAUUAUAGCUACUCUCUUCAUGCAUGGUGUCAAACAACAAGAUGGGUCCUCUAUGUUCAUAUACUUCCUAAUUAUCUAU